AAACUGCGGCGGCUCGCGCUCUUUUCACUCCGGCCUGGUUUGAGGGGAAUCGCGAUGCUUUGGACCGUUCCGUAAGUUACGGUAGAUAAUACUUGUUAAAAUGCGUAGUGCUGAAAAAAACGAUCAUAGAAAUAGUUAGCUAACAAAUAUGUUGUUAAUUAGUUGGAGAGUGGCGACGUGCGUCGAGCAGUGUAGCGUUAGUGAAGUGUUAGCCAGGCAGAGCGCACGACAAGCUGCCCAGCACACCAGAUCAUUAUAAACAACUAAAAGAGUGCAUUAUAAGUGAAGGAUUUAACGUGGAGCGUUUGCUUUGCUGCAUCAGGUACGUUCACAGUGCUCCUGUGAUGUGUUUUGCGGUUGACCGAGUGAAAUGUUGUCUGUUCUCAUCGCAUUACUUUCUACGGUAUGAAUUUUCUUCAAGGACGUUGUCAAGAAUUUGAUUUGAUGUUGACAGAGAUGAAGGUUUUACCGAUUUCACGUCAAGCACAGGAGCCCUACCACAAAUGCUGGAGAGUGCCGUCAAAUCCAGGUAACGUAUUUUGUUUUUUGUAUAGUAAAUGUAUUUUUAAUGUGAGGAUAUUUUAGAUGACUUUUUUAGGCAAUAUAAUUUGCAAUCUAUGUUCUGUCUGUCAAUCUAUCUUAUGCCUUGGUUGUUGUCAGCUGGCCUCUAAAUUUCUCAUGAUAUAACUUAUUAACAUGCAGCUUACAACAUCAUCUGACUGUUUGAUAGAUAUUAGAAAUGAAUGUAUUUUGUUGAGAUCAAUACUUUGUUCUUAAAUUUUUUGUUCUUUGAUUUAAUCAGCAGUGAAGAUGAACAUCUAAGGGGACUCCCACAAUGGCUUGAGUACUAAUGCUGCUCAGAUAUGCUGUGUGUAUGGAAAGACUGAGGAGUUGAAAGCUGAUUCUACCCUGGAAAGGAGUAAUUUUCUCUUUUAGAGGGGAUGGAAGACCAAGCAGAUACUAUAUUAAAAAGUGCUACACAAUGAUGGUUGUUCUUGCAUAUCUUCUGCCACCGUUGCCUGGAAGUCGAUGCAAUGUUAAAUCUGAAAUUUCAUUUCUUUCAAUUUAAUUUUGUACCGCGUGGAGCCACUAUUGCAUCCCUCUGCAGCAGUUUUGAGACCGCAUCAAAGACCAGACCACAGCCGAUCUACAUUGGAAGUUUGAAGAGCACAACAUGACAGUACAUCAUUACGAGGAUUGACAGAGUAACCAUUCCUGUGGAUGAGGGCCUGAUGUGCUGUGGACAAUAUAUUCUAGGUGUGAAACUUGUCCUGUCCACCACAGAUUAGUUUGGUCUUUUCUUUCUAAGACUGGAGCAUCUAAUAUUGAAACACCACAUUCUCUUUUUAAAACUGACAUCGUUUCGCUAGAAAACAACCUCUUCUUCAGCUGUGAUUGCGUACAGCCCAUUUAAACACUUCAAAGACUUUUAAAACUGCAUUGAUUUGGACUUAAAAACGAUGGUAACCAAUGAACUCCAUUGUUAGAAGAAAAAUCCAGAAAUGUUUUCCUCAAAAAACAAAAUUUCUCUCCCACUGAGGAAAGAAAGACAUGGAUAUCUUGGAUGGCAUUGGGUGAGUAAAUUAUUAGGAAAUUUUCUUUUUGGGGUGAACUAAUCCUUUAAGCAUACAAUGAACACUCACAGUAGCUUUUAGUCAAUAUAAAGCGUUAUGUUAUCUUAUGUUAUGUUCUUACACUGCAGUAAGUAAUGCAUUCAUAAAGUGAUUCUCUAUUAAAGUUGUUUAAAUGUGAAAAACUUUGUUUAUUAAAGUUUAUUGCAAACGAA